rnacentral:rRNA from 1 species
UAGGGAAUCUUCCGCAAUUGGCGAAAGCCUGACGGAGCAACGCCGCGUGAGUGAUGAAGGUCUUCGGAUCGUAAAACUCUGUUAUUAGGGAAGAACAAAUGUGUAAGUAACUAUGCACGUCUUGACGGUACCUACUCAGAAAGCCACGGCUAACUACGUGCCAGCAGCCGCGGUAAUACGUAGGUGGCAAGCGUUAUCCGGAAUCAUUGGGCCUAAAGCGCGCGUAGGCGGUUUUUUACGUCUGAUGGGAAAGCCCACGGCUCAACCGGGGAGGGUCAUUGGAAACUGGAAAACUUGGGUGGAGAAGAGGAAAGAGGAAGUCGAUGUGAGGGGGGGAAAUGAGCGGAGAUGUGGAGGAACACCGGGGGCGAAGGCGACUUUCGGGUCUGUAACGGACGCUGAUGGGGGAAAGCGUGGGGAUCAAAGAGG